rnacentral:rRNA from 1 species
UACGUAGGGGGCAAGCGUUGUCCGGAAUCAUUGGGCGUAAAGAGCGUGUAGGCGGUUCGGUAAGUCGGCUGUGAAAGUCCAGGGCUCAACCCUGGGAUGCCGGUCGAUACUGCCGGACUAGAGUUCGGAAGAGGCGAGUGGAAUUCCCGGUGUAGCGGUGAAAUGCGCAGAUAUCAGGAGGAACACCGGUGGCGAAAGCGGCUCACUGGACCGUUGCUGACGCUGAGGUGCGAAAGCUAGGGGAGCAAACGGGG